UAUACAUCUUAUUUUGUCAGAACUCCACCAGGACACUCCCAGCCUUUUCCGGCCCUGGACUGAAAGCCUCAAGACACCCCGGGAACGCAGUCUUUUACUUACUGCCUCCCAACCCCAAUCAUUCAGAAAUUUCGGGAAUUAUCACUCAACAAUGAUAUGCUCGAAUUUUCUUUGUAAUUUACAUAUCUAGGAAUCGCUAGAUCUAUUCUAGAGAUAUACAGCAAUAGGUUAUUUCCAAAGGUGACCAAUGUCGGUCGUAUACUAGUAUUUUAAGAAAUAAAGUAUGCGCUUUCGUUGAUGUUGCAAGAUAACCUUCUCGAUCUCGAAAUGUUGUUUUCAAAUACUAGUAUAAAAGCCGAGGCGUUAACCGAGACUUUUAUAUUUCAAUCAACAUUCGAGACCGAGGAGGGGAGGGAGCUCGAACCCAUGACCUCACGGCUACGAAGUGAACGCUAUACUACUGGGCAAACGCAACCGGCGAUACCAAUGUUAUAUAUAGCUCCUUCCCUCUAACUGUUGCGUAAAUAACAGCUAGGUAUCUGAAUUUUAAUCAUUAAAUAAAUAGAAAAAUAUAGAUGUUAUAUAAGACAGCAAUACCCACACGCAAGAGUUUGUCUUUAAAUAUUAUCUCCUUCGUGCUUGUGUAACUAGCAAAGAAGUCACAAUAGUCAUUUCAUAAUUUGAUUGACUUAGCAUAAAAUGCUCAGGUAAGGAUAUGACCUCUGGGAGGAAUACAUUACUGCUACAUGUACAUCGCCAGAAAUAUAUAUUCUUAAUGCACAUAUAAAGAGGUAUUGAUCAUUCUAAUCAGCAAGUGCGUCUGGGUAAUCCCCAACCCCUCAUUCUACAAUACGAAACUUUUGAAAUGUGCCGGAACGACCGAUUAUAUUUGACGUUUAUAUACCACGGUCACGUGAUAAUAACUAAUUGUAGGGCAAAGUUGACAUCGAUACAAAUGGAGUUUACGGACUGUAAAGAGCUACAUGUAUGUUCAGUCCUACGAUGAAGAUCCAAGUCACUAUUGGUGCUUAGUACCUGGGUGUAAAUUAGAUGGAAGGGAAAAGGCGCAUUUAGACGCGUAUCAUUGGAUGCAAGGCGUGAAGUUUUACCGAUAUCCUCAAGAUGUUCUCUAGAUUUAUUUCUCUCGCCAACUCACACAAUUUGAUCAAAUGCAUUUUCCUAUAAAAUGGUUGUAGUGAUUCCUUUUUUUAAAAGAUAACAUUUAAAUGCAGGGAUUUGAUAGCAAUUGAAAUAUAACAUGUUUGUUUACUUAAUUGUUAUUGUAAUCCGAAAGUGACAUGUCCUGCAGGUUGCAUCACUCUAUUUAUGUGGAGGUUCACGUCGAAUCAUGGCCGAAAGAAAAUAAUUCCUGGAACUUUGCAUGUUUUAUGGGACUUUCCUUAUGAGGUAGGCUCUCCAAUUUUUUGUGAGAUGUAAAUUCAAGUAUUGUGUUUGAAAUUUUGUGAGUAAAAAGCAUGAAAGAAGGAUUUAAAUAUUUUUUUGAAUUUUUGUUGUAGAGGUGGGUGAUUUGGCUUUUGACCAGCUGAUUUUGCACGUGCUUGACUUCGAUGUAAACAAACUCUCACGCCUUGCUGGAUGGGACCCCCCUUGACAGCUCAACUUGACCAUGUCCAGGAAAAUCAGAAUGCCUUGCUGGGUGCAGUGAGUAAUGUUCUCCAUCUUCCCAUUACAAUUAAAGAUAAGAUAAUUCUACAUGAUACCAACUAUAUUUCAAAGGAAUUGAACAACACAUUAAUUAAAUUUGAUAAGUUUAAUCAAGAACAUCAUCACAUUUCAAUUGCAAUUUUACACAUCAAAUCUCAAUAAAAUAUAAGUAUACCACACAAAAUCACCAACAAUUUUCCUAUAUACAAGGUAAGGCCUUCCACAACAAUAUAAAAAAAAAAUCACUGUCAUCCAUUACAAACAAAUAGGUGAAAAAUCCAAAUUUCACACACACAUUUUCUAUCAGAAUUGCUCAAAAUGGACUCAAUUUCAUCCAAACACACCUCAUUUACCCAAGGCCUGUUUCACUUCAUAAAGAUCAGAAAUCCAAAAAAUGAAUGUACAGUCACACACACAUAACAUUCAACUUCUUUUUUAUGAAGUUUAUUGCAAUUUAAAGAAACCCUAUUUUUAUUGCAGGUUGCAUCACUCUAUUUAUGUGGAGGUUCACGUCGAAUCAUGGCCGAAAGAAAAUAAUUCCUGGAGCUUUUUUUGCAUGUUUUAUGGGACUUUCCUUAUGAGGUAGGCUCUCCAAUUUUUUGUGAGAUGUAAAUUCAAGUAUUGUGUUUGAAAUUUUGUGAGUAAAAAGCAUGAAAGAAGGAUUUAAAUAUUUUUUUUGAAUUUUUGUUGUAGAGGUGGGUGAUUUGGCUUUUGACCAGCUGAUUUUGCACGUGCUUGACUUCGAUGUAAACAAACUCUCACGCCUUGCUGGAUGGGUAUGUAUUUUUUGGUAUGAAAAUGCACAUUAAGAACUGUACUACAUGAUGUGAAAGUAAAACUUCUGAAAAGUUUACUUUAAGGAAGCAGGGUCAGGUCAAAGGUGAGUAAUUUUGGUAAGAACAUAUAGGCAAAAUUAAUAGAGUGGUGCAACCUGCAAAUUACGUUCAACGCGCGAUAAAAGUCAGAGUGGAUCCGUAUCCUGAGAGUAUCACUCAAAUAUCUUCAAAACACACGGGAUCCUCACCGGUACCAUAUACAUUCUAACUGCAUAUGACAAUUAAGAUGCAUUGAGUAUUCUGUUUGGCAAGUACCCUGGGCUCAUCCAAAACCCCAUUUCAUAAUUGUUGAAAUAUAUUUAAAACAAAUUGAGGUCCUGACCCCAAAACCAUUAAUAGUCUUGCUGCACACGAGCAGUGUGAUGAGUAAGAGCCCUAUGAUCAUCCCAAGCCAAGCCCAAUUUGAUUGUUUAGUAUCUUUAAAAUGGUUGAGAACGUAUUCUUCUUACACUUGGCACCAGGUUUUUCUUCUUCGUUUUCCCAUCCCAUUUGCCCCUCAGUGUGAAAAAGAAAAUUCCGAAAACCUAUUGCACAUCUAAAGGACACCAGCAAUCAUCUACAAAAAGAUGAUUUCGCUACUGCAUAAAAUGUAAGAGGAAUUCUGGGAAUCGGGUUUUUCUAUAGAAUAACGUCAUUUUUCAACCUGGCCCUAAUAUGAUGGGUUUUUUUUUUAUGAUCCUGGAGUACCUGCAAUUACUCAUCAGAACAAUCAAUGCAUCUUGAUAUGUGCAGUCAAUUUCUAGAGAAUGAACAGAAAGGGCCGGAGAAAAUGAGUGUGUUGUAGUAACUCAGCAUCCUAGCUAUUAUCCAGACCGGGUUUAAAUUUAUUAGGACCCUACACUUUUAUUGAAACCCUAGAUCAAUUAAUUAUUGUAGAUUAAGAGUGUUUCGUCGGCGUUUUGGAUAUCAAUGUUCAUUCACACAGGCCUGCCUCAUCAUUGCCAAUGAAAUUAAAUGGUAAAUUGUCCUGUACAUGCUUCAGCUUUCAGUCAUAACAAGAUCACGAUGUUCUUGUGUUUACCAUCAGCUUAAAUAGGGCCCGAAUAAAUUUGAUGACAUGUCUGGAUGAUAGGGUGAUAAGCUAUUACAACACAACAGUUUUGAAAAUGUGCAAGAUUCCUAUUUGUCAAUAUAAAACAAGGGGCGUGCCAAUUAUGUUCAAAAUUUGAGGAUAUCAGAAGUGAGAGAUACGUUACUUUCACCCGACUCUACGAUUGAACGAUUUGUUAUGUUCAGGUUCAUGGUAGAUACGUUAAAUAAUCUUUCAUUUAAAUGGUCUUAUGAACUCUUGUGUCCUUUACUUUGAAAAUUAGAUAGGAGAUAUCGUCGAAAUAAGUGUAUUACCUUUCAGAAUCAAAAUACACUAUAUUGAUGUCGGAUGAUAUUGAGGCAAAUGAGCAGAAAAGACAAAACAAAAGCUUUGCACUUCAAUUAACAUCAGAAGUAAUGCAUUACUUUUAAUUUAACGGACACACGAUCCCAUUCCUUGUGUUACAGUAUAUGCCUUUGAAAUAGAAACGUUACAUUUCAUACAUUUUCGUAUAAUGGGCAAUUGAUCAUGAGUAGCAAGCGACCUAAAAUCUUCCCCAUUUAAAUGAUAAUACUGUCAGAGUACAAUCUCCGACAUGAUUUUAGGUCUCUGGGUGUCACUUAGUUUGAACUAUAGUAAUUGACAUAUGAUAUAAUUUUAAAGAAAAAAAUAUAGCAUUUUAAUUUUCUCUCUCUAUUUGAGAUUUGUAUGGUAUUUAAGUAUUGAUGUACACAUGUACAAGCAAAUCUUUAUUUCCGCACGUAAUCGAAAAAUCGAAUACUUUUCUCUUGGCCUUAAUAGAUUGCAUAUGCCUGGACAGAUUUAAAGCCUAUCCGGCUUAUAACGUAUCUUGUCUGGACUUAGUUAUUUGACGCAAUGUAUCCCAGCAAAGAAAGCAACAGAAUUAUAAAAGAGCGCUGCAAACAACUCUUUAUAUUUCGGUAUUUUCAAAAUCAAAUUUGUCACGUAGGGCUCACAGUAGGUGUGCUUUCUCCUCCUAGGCGCUAGAUCCCACAUCUCUGGUAUAUCCAGGGGUCCAUGUUUGUCCUUCUCUUCAUAUUGUAAAUUUUGAUCACUCUACAUUUGUACAUAUAUUUCAUUUUGCAUUCUUUAUAGGAUUUAUAAAAUUUAUUACUCAUGGUUCGUUAUCUUUACUAUAUCAUGUAUAUAUAUAAAUCAUUUCGUUUUUUGUCAAUCACUUGCUUUAAAUUAAAGACUUACGUACAAAAUUCCUCAUAGAACUUAUCUCCCAAACAUAUUGUACAGUAACAGCUCCAACGAAAUAGCUACGGUUUGUAUGGAAGCUCGGAAGCGAAAUUAUGGUAAAAGAUUUAAACUAGGAGUCAACAGAAGAAUGAUAAAACGUUCCCUUACAAAAUUAUCAACAAAAUGGUCAAGACAGAUUCAUCAGAAUAGCACUAGCUGAACGUCUUAGCAAAAACUUACUUAGACUUUCCUAUCAAUAUCCAACAUGCUCAAUUAACCAACAUCAAGUGAUACUGAUCGCCAAAAAAUUGGAAUGUGCUUCCCACUAGUAUAAUUACAACAGUGAGUAUUUAAUCUUUAAAAAGUCAUCUUGCCACUUACGUGAGCAGUAUCACAUUGCUUUCAUCAAAAGUGAAGAUAAGGAACAGUGAUCCAUGUCAUAACUCCUAUAAGUAAUACAAAGUAGAUAGUUGGGUAAACACGGACUCCUGGACACACCAGAGGUGGGAUCUCUCACCAUCUUGGAAAACAGCGCUUGGUUUUAUGCACAUGCUCUUAAAGUGGGAGAGUAAUCAGCUGAUCGAUGACGACCACUAUGCAAAAGGAGACGAAGAUAAGAAACUUAACAUACUUCGCAUCCAUUUUGAGGUUUUGCUGAAAACUGUUACAUAUUAAAUGGAUAUAAGCUUUGUUUUCUGGUGCAUGUUUGUUCAAAUGAAUGACCAUAUGAAAGGUGAAGAUAACGAACAGUGAUCAAUCUCAUAACUCCCAUAAGGAAUACAAAAUAAAGAGUUGAGCAAACAAGGACCCCUGCACAUAUCAGAGGUGGUACCAAGUGCCUAGGAAGAGUAAACAUUCCCUGUCGACCGGUCAGACCCACCGUGAGCCCUGUAUCUUGAUCAGGUAAACGGAGUUAUCCGUAGUCAAAAUCAGUGUGCUAAGAACGGUUACAAUCGAUAUGAAACACGUCAGACAACAUUUGACCGAAUGAUAGGUCGUAUUGGAAAACUAAAUAAUUAUAACGAGAAUAAUAUUUUGAGAAAAUAGAUAAAAUGUGAAAAUUGGAAAGGUCAUAUGAAUAUAUUUGAAAUUAUAAAUGAUUUUGGAAAAUCACGAAUACCUUAUAUUCUGCACUUGAGUUCACCAUCUCUCUCUCUCUCUCUCUCUCUCUCUGUGUGUGUGUGUGUGUGUGGAUGUAAUUCAAAUGAAAAGAGUUUGCAAAUACUGUCUUUUUACACAUUAUCAUUCAGUAACGAACCGAUUGCUGACCACGUGACUGUUUUAUUAGCAUACCAUGUGCAAUUUAUCCAAUCCUUUUAUAUGUGCAUACCUAAGUAUGUUUUAGUGUUUUACACGUGAUCAGACACAAUGGAUUUAGUCUGAUACAUCCUUAUUCCUCCAUGUACAAUCGAUGAACUAUAUGUCUUAACUUACCAACGUCUCUGUGUUCUUUUUAACCAAGUGUGGAUAAUACAUUAUACAAAUAAGGCCAACCGAAGAUGUCUGAGAGUUAAAUUAGUCAAGAAUGAGCUUAAAAUUGCGACAAAUUCUUUAAUAUGAGAUGAAAUAGUUUACAUUGCACACGUUAUCAUAUAAUGCCGAUAUAGAUACAUUGACCAUGCAAGUUUGGAAACAAAAAAGUACUGAUUACUAGUAAGUAUUUUUAGUAUUUUGAAGGACAGCCUUUUAUGAUCAACGUACUUUGUUUUGUUUUUUUAAUGACCACUUUUCUGCUAGACAUUCAAUUAUAAAACAAUGGUUAGUAUGAUUGGUUUCAUUUCAAGCACCUUUGUACAUGCAUGACCUCUUAUAUCUACCUGCACAUGUCAUAUAUGAUAUAUUAUUGGUAAUUCCAAUUGUUGAAUCUAAAUGUCUGAUUACUUCAUCUAUGUCAAUCCCCAGUGUUUUUGAAAUUAAUCAAAUAAUAUAUGUGAUACUUGGCUUCCAUAUUUAAAAUUUUUUUUUCCGAUCAUAAAUAGACAGGGAAAACCAUGAUCUAUUUUUACGACGUGGCGUAAGUCUACCACGGUGAGUCAUCGUCAGGUGUUUUGCUGUAAAGUGUAGUGCGAAUCGUUCUAUUAACAUUUUGGUCAAACUUUUUGAUUGCUUGUCUUUACUUCAGUUUAAUUUUAUCUAGGUGAAGAUAUAAUAUCGAUUGUAAACAUUAUUCUAUGAAAAGUGCUGAAGGCAAUUCAAGAUUAAAGGGACUGGUUGACGAUUUGUGAACAAAAUAUUUCUUUAUUUUUGAUGUUAAACAUUAAAAGUAUAACUCAGGCGCGGAUCUAGAAAUUUGUCAAAGGGGGUGAAGAGGAAAUGCAGGGGCGGAUCCAGGAAUUGUUGUUACGGGGGGCGCCACUUUAUGAGGCAAGGGAUUUGGGGGCCGCCUUGAGACCCCCAGUGGGUCCAGGACGAAGCCCUGGUGGGGGCCAGGGGGCGAAGCCUCCGAAAGCUCCUGGAUUUUACAGAUUUUAUAGUUCAUUUCUCCGGGAGUGGAGAAAUUAUUGCUUCUUUUAUCGUUUAGUACAUUUGUUUAAACAAGAUACAUAUGUACCACGAUUUACUUUAAAGCUGUAUGGUCCGAAUUACAAUAUUUUUUUCCAUCUCGUAAAAACGCUAUUAAAUCAUCGGACGUAUGUAGUUAUGAGGCUGUACGACAUGCCAUAAAUUAUUUCACCUGUUUUAAACCAAAUUAUUUGAUUUUAAAUCGAUGUUUACAAAUAACCGCGUCACUCUGUCAUUUCAAGUGACAGUCACGUGACCAGUUCAAACUUUGAAAUCAUUGGUGGUCUUAUCUGUGUAAAGCUGUGUAUUUUGUUAUAACAGUACCGUACCAUAAGUUUAAUAGAAAUAAAAAUAUCAAAUACCUCU